CCCAGUAUAGCCCAGUAUAGCCCAGUAUGGCCCAGUAUAUCCCAGUAUGGCCCAUAUGGCCCAGUAUAGCCCGGUAUGGCCCAGUACAUCCCAGUAUGGCCCAGUGCCUCCCAGUAUGGCCCAGUAAGCCCCCAGCA